UUCCUUUCUCUACUUUUGAGGAUUCCAGAGUGCAGGAGCAGGUCCUCCAUUGUACCACAUGGUCCCACGUGGGGAGGAAGGAGAUACACUUCAGAUGACUUGUACCACAUGCUUUGACCAAAGUGGCUGCAUCAGGGAGGUCCCAGAGCCAUCUCCACGGUGUGAUUUUCCCACUGCGUAUGGCCCAAUUGUGGAGCAGGGAUCCUGGCCCAACUGAACGGCCUCCUGGAACUUCAGCAUGGUUGGCCCUAAAAGCAAGAUUUGCCUGCAAAGAUCUUUACUGCUGGAUGUUGAGGAAGUCAAAGCAUGAAUGAGAUCAAAAGGAACUGCUCAAAUUCAUUGGAAACGACUUGUGAAUGGUUUGUGAAUGAUGGCCCAAGACUUCUAGAAACUGAGAGGAUGACAGGAGGAGGAGUCCAGGUUUGUCCCUUGUCUCAGCUCUUUCCCUAAACUGGGUACUGCUUACUGUUUCCAGCCGAUUUAAUUUUAGAGCUGGACAAAAACUGAAGCACUUUCCCAAUGAGGAAAAGACCAAAGGAAAAGGCAAUAUGAGAUAAACUGAUUAUUGGGUUCAUGAACAGGGGAAAGUGAAAGAAAAGGAAGUUAAGAGCUCUUCCAAGCCAAGAGGGGAGCAGAAAGGGAAACCGAAUGCUCAGAAUUCUAGCAGUGAUGCAGAGCCUUUCUUAAAUCCUUUUAAAAUCGACUGGGGUAUUUCAUGAGUUUGAGUGAUUAUUUUAAUUGGGGAAUAAAAAUAGUGUUUUCUUGAAAUUAACUACUAUU
rnacentral:lncRNA from 1 species